ensembl:lncRNA
UGCUUUUCUGUCCGCGUUAUUGUUAAGCCUAAGGGCCCUGAAAGUUCACAAUAAUGUUUUCUCUGAAUUUAACCUCAUAAGACUAGCUGUUUCAUCAGCCAGACUGAAUCCCUGUUGACUUUAGAGUAUUUAGAGCAUUUAGAGCAUCGCUCCUUCUCGAAAUGUCUUUCUGUGAGAGAAAUGUUAUGAGUUAUUAACAAACUAAAGAGAUGAAUUUGUGGACUGUUUCCUUUCAUUUUUAUUCUGCUAUGCACAUUUGGAGAAAACAUGGGAAAGAUAUAACCGUUACCGAUAUCCCUGUUGUCUUUGGAGUAUUUAGAGCAUCACUCUUUCUCUAAAUGUCCUGUGAAUAGAAUCGUUAUUACGAGUUUGCUGCUGCUGCUGUUGUUGUUCUAGUAAGGAAAGGAAAAGGAUAAACAUUGCGGAAAGGAAAGGAAUAAACAUGUGGGAAAGGAAAGGAAUAAACAUGUGGGAAAGGAAAGGAAUAAACAUGUGGGAAAGGAACGGAAAGGAAUAAACAUGUGGGAAAGGAAAGGAAUAAACAUGUGGGAAAGGAAUAGAAAGGAAUAAACAUGUGGGAAAGGAAAGGAAUAAACAUGUGGGAAAGGAAUAGAAAGGAAUAAACAUGUGGGAAAGGAAAGGAACGGAACAAACAUGUAGGAAAGGAACGGAAUAAACAUGUGGGAAAGGAACGGGAUAAACAUGUGGGAAAGGAACGGGAUAAACAUGUGGGAAAGGAAUAAACAUGGGAAAGGAAAGGGAUAAAAAUGUGGGAAAGGAAAGGAAUAAACAUGUGGGAAAGGAAUAAACAUGGGAAAGGAAAGGGAUAAAAAUGUGGGAAAGGAAUAAACGUGUGGGAAAGGAAAGGGAUAAAAAUGUGGGAAAGGAAUAAACAUGUAGGGAAGGAAAGGAACAAACAUUUGGGAAAGGAAAGUAAUAAACAUGUGGGAAUGGAAUAAACAUGUGGGAAAGGAACGGAAUAAACAUGUAGGAAAGGAACGGAAUAAACAUGUAGGAAAGGAACGGAAUAAACAUGUAGGAAAGGAACGGAAUAAACAUGUGGGGAAGGAAAGGAAUAAACAUGUGGGAAAGGAAUGGAAUAAACGUGUGGAAGGAAAGGAAUAAACAUGUGGUAAACGAAAGGAAUAAACAUGAGGGAAAGGAAAGGAAUAAACAUGGGAAAGGAAAGGGAUAAAAAUGUGUGAAAGGAAUAAACAUGUGGGAAACGAAAGGAAUAAACAUGUGGGAAACGAAAGGAAUAAACAUGUGGGAAAGGAAUAAACAUGGGAAAGGAAAGGAAUAAACAUGGGAAAGGAAAGGAAUAAACAUGUGGGGAAGGAAAGGAAUAAACAUGUGGGAAAGGAAUAAACAUGGGAAAGGAAAGGAAUAAACAUGGGAAAGGAAAGGAAUAAAACAUGUGGGGAAGGAAAGGAAUAAACAUGUGGGAAAGGAACAGAAUAAACAUGUGGGAAAGGAACAGAAAGGAAUAAACGUGGGGAAGGAAAGGAAUAAACGUGGGGAAGGAAAGGAAUAAACGUGGGAAAGGAACAGAAUAAACAUGUGGGAAAGGAACAGAAAGGAAUAAACAUGUGGCGAAGGAAAGGAAUAAACAUGUGGGAAAGGAAAGGAAUAAACAUGUGGGAAAGGAAUGGAAUAAACAUGUGGGGAAGGAAAGGAAUAAACAUGUAGGGAAAGGAAAGGAAUAAACGUGGGAAGGAAA